rnacentral:ncRNA from 2 species
CGCCUCACCUCGGGGUGCCUUCAGUGGCUGAGAUGCGCAAGCGGACCCGUUGAACCUGAACCGGUUAAGACCGGCGGAGGGAAGGUAUGGAAGUCUCCA